rnacentral:lncRNA from 1 species
AAUACUUUUUGGAAAAGGUCAGAAUUUAAUUAACUCUAAAACUUGCUCUCGCCCUGAUCUAGAAUUAAUGCCUAACUUACACUGUCCAGUUAAAAUCUCAAACUCUCGCUCUAUUGGUUUUAACUUCUUUAUGUCUUUUACUUUUGUAAAAAAUCUUGUUAUUAAACCUGUAAGUUGAGACCGUAAAAAGAUUGAUUUUGAU